GGACCCGCACAAGCAGUGGAGUAUGUGGAUUAAUUCGAUGCAACGCGAAGAACCUUACCAAGGCUUGACAUCCUACUGACGAAGUAGAGAUACAUUAGGUGCCCUUAUGGGAAAGUAGAGACAGGUGGUGCAUGGUUGUCGUCAGCUCGUGUCGUGAGAUGUUGGGUUAAGUCCCGCAACGAGCGCAACCCUUGUGGUUAGUUGCUACGAAAGAGCACUCUAACCAGACUGCCGUUGACAAAACGGAGGAAGGUGGGGACGACGUCAAAUCAUCAUGCCCUUUAUGUCUUGGGCCUCACACGUACUACAAUGGCGAGGAACAAAGGGAAGCGAGCCCGCGAGGGUAAGCGAAUCCCGAAAAGUCGCCUCAGUUCAGAUUGCAGGCUGCAACCCGCCUGCAUGAAGUCGGAAUUGCUAGUAAUCGCAGAUCAGCAUGCUGCGGUGAAUACGUUCCCGGGUCUU
rnacentral:rRNA from 1 species